rnacentral:lncRNA from 1 species
UGUUAGGAUAAGUGAGGAGCCAACCAUUUACUCUCCAGAAGAGGUCUCUCACCAGAACCUGACCCUCCUGGCACCAUAAUUUUGGACUUCCUGCCUCCAGACAGAGAACAGCACCGCCCAGUGGCUGGGAGUGUUUGGGGAAAUGCUGGCUGGAAUCUCUUCUUCCGUUCAUUGGCUGUAAGAUCAGGGUCACACCCCUCAUCCCCUGAGCUUCAGGGUUUCCUCCACUAAAGAGAUGACUCUCAGCCCUCCUGCCUCACAUGGCACAAUGAAUGGAGAAGCGCCGGGAGCCUCACAGCUGUAGGGGUGGUUCCUGCCUUGGGUUCAUCCUGGCCAGUCUUGGUCAGCAUAGCGUUGAAGGUUCUAGAAGAACGUUGGGGAAUAAGGAAGACCAACCGGUACCUCACCUAACAUCCCUUCAACAAGCCUCACGCUUGAAGAACACACAGCCCAGCUGGAGAGAGAGGCCAGGACCCCACAUCAUCACAGAGUGGGUGCAUCAAGAGCAGCUGGGGCAGGGGCAUCCCGGAAAAGGGCAUCGUCCCUGAAGGCUGCUGGCCCUGAAGGAGCUCUGGGAGCAAGGGGUGAUGGUGGGGCCUUGAGGCCCAGGUAGGAUCCGGAGUGUGAGAGGGAAGAUGCCUUUGGAAAUGAAGCCCUUGGUCACCUCAGUGAGAAACAUGGCAGGAUUUGCUCUCUUGUUGCAUUAUUUAAAAUGAAGGCAGAUGUCAAUCAUCUCAGGCAGGUUUACAUCCUAAAUGCAACUGACCCGGUCCCGUAUAUCAGCCCCCUUGUUGUGGCCUAGCAGCCCAGAGAACCUACAGUCCUCUUAGCUGGCAACAUCACAGAACAUUCCACCUGGAAAAACCUUAGGGAAUCCUUGGUCAGUGGUGUUCAGUUCUACCCCACCCUUUCUGUCUUUAAUUAUGGACUUCUGUAUUCAAACAAAACAUUAUAAGAAGCCAAAUAUAAAACAUAGCAAAGCAAAGCUACUCAGACCAAAUCAGGGAUAAGAGACUCCGAUCUGCCCAUGGGUUUCAGAAAACGCCACAUGAAAAUGCCUGGGCUACUUCCACUGGCUUAUACACUGGAGAAACUGAGGCACAGAGCGACAGUCCUGACCAUACACUAUGUGAGAGCAAAGACCUGGUUGGUCUUAUAGCACACUGCAUCCCCAGCAUCCACCUCAGUCAGUCCUGGCACAUAUAGAUGCCCAAUAAAUAUCGGUUGGACAGAUACAGAUUAGUUGGAUCAACAUACAUUUUUUGCAUAAAUAAAUAUUUGUUGGAAGAGACACACAGGCAAUGCUGACGGCCUUUGCACAGUCAUCUCUGUUUUUCUACAAAUGCAACUACUUUUUGAAGAGGCUAAAGGAGGGACUUGCCUCUGAGACAGGGUCUGUAAUUGCCUAUGUUUGGAAUGUACAGCAUUUGAAAGGUUUUAAUUUCCUGAUCUAAUGACAAGAAUAAAAGCAGAGGAGUAGAGGGCCAGGGAGGAUGAAAAGGAGCCACAAUUUGCAUCCAAGAUGGAAGUGCCCUUUGUUGUCCCACAUCCAAGUCAACUUCAAAGUUUUCUGCUGCAUGGAGAUGCACAUCAGUCACCAUGGCAACCACCAAUCUGCCCAGGCUACUCGACCCUGGCCAGCCCUCUGCCAGCCAUAGCAUGUGCCUGGCUUUCAGAGAGCCAGGUGGGGCAGAGAACACAGGGGCUGCCGCUCAACCUCGCCAGCCUCCACCCAGCACGUCUUAUUGGCUCUCAGUCUGUGGGGAGAGGGGUCUGGGUCAGCACCUCGAUUGGCUGCACUGUCAUCCUGCAAGCAUGCAUUAGUAGCCACCAGGUGCCUGUGCAUCGGGUCACUCCUUAGAGAUAACACUCCCGUGUCUGGCACUAGUCGCUGAACAAAGGCCUGUGAAUGAGUCAAUGAAUGAAAUCAUAACCAGAGUCCCCUGGGAGCUUCUAAAAUAAACAAAUGCCCAGCUCCACCACCUGAAACUGGCUGCAUCAGCAUCUCUGGGAGGUACAGGCAAGACUGGGGGGCUACAGUUGCACACGCGCCCCUCAAGUUAGAGCAGGAGGAGAAAGCUGAAUGGAGACAGUCCGGGUGGGGCUGCUGGAGCUGCCACUCACGGAGAUGGCAGGAGGGGCGCUUGCUUUGGGAUGUGUCGGGUUAGAGGUGCCCAGGAGGAGUUUGGGAGUCCGGAGUUCUGGGGAGAACUCAGGGAGGGAGGCAGCCUUUUUAUCCACCAGAGUGAUGAGACCAUGGUGAGGGUGCAGAGACAGAUGUAUUCACCCAUUUUCACGCUGCUGAUAAAGACAUACCCGAGACUAGGCAAUUUGUAAAGAAAAAGAGAUUUAAUGGACUCACAGGUCUAAGUGGCGGGGGCGGCCUCACAAUCAUGGCAGAAGGCAAGAGAGAGAAUGAGAACCAAGCGAAAGGGGUUUCUCCUUAUAAAACCAUCUGAUCUCAUGAGACUUAUUCACUAUCACUAGAACAGUAUAGGGGAAACUGCCCCCAUGAUUCAAUCAUCUCCCAGCGGGUCCCUCCUACAUCACGUGGGAAUUAUGAGAGCUACAAUUCAAGAGGAGAUUUGGGUGGGGACACAGUCGAACCAUAUCAAUGAGCAAGAGACCGAGUAUCCAAGGUAUAAGCCAUGGAACACACGGGCCAACAAGGAGGGGUAGGUGAGGGAGAUGAGAGUGAGCACCAGGCAAAUGUGGUGCCUGGGAAGCCAGGAGAAUGUGACAAGCACAGGCUGGGGAAGAAAGAUAGUCAUGCCCAGAGCAUCAAGGCAGGAGCUGCAGAAGAAAGUCUCCCAUCCAACAUGUGGUGACUGCCGGCUGCUGUGGGUGCCCCACCUGGGUGGGGGCUGCCUAGACUACCUCUGCCCAAAGACUGGGGCCUCAGUGGUGGCCACACUGAGCAUAUCUUGCAAACCCCUCCUAAGUCCACCAGGCCUGAGGUUCUUACCUUGAAAUUUACCUCUUCUUCCUCCA